rnacentral:rRNA from 1 species
UACGUAGGGGGCAAGCGUUGUCCGGAUUUAUUGGGCGUAAAGAGCGUGUAGGCGGCCAGGUAGGUCAGCUGUGAAAACUCGAGGCUCAACCUCGAGACGUCGGUUGAAACCACCUGGCUAGAGUCCGGAAGAGGAGAGUGGAAUUCCUGGUGUAGCGGUGAAAUGCGCAGAUAUCAGGAAGAACACCCGUGGCGAAGGCGGCUCUCUGGAACGGUACUGACGCUGAGGUGCGAAAGCGUGGGGAGCAAACAGG